GUGCAGCAGGCGAGAAACCUCCACAAUGCGGGAAACCGUGAUGGGGGAAUCCGAGUGCCCGUUGGCUAAUGCUGGCGGGCUUUUCUCAAGCGUAAAAGGCUUGAGGAAUAAGGACUGGGUAAGACCGGUGCCAGCCGCCGCGGUAACACCGGCGGUCCAACUGGUGAUCAGCAUUAUUGGGUCUAAAGCGUCCGUAGCCGGAUGGUUGGAUUUCGAGUGAAAUUCCCCAGCUUAACUGGGGGCGUGCUUGAAACACCCGCCAUCUAGGGGACCGGGAGAGGUAGGGGGUAGGCCCCCGGGUAGAAGUAAAAGUUCUAUAAUCCGGGGAGGACCACCGGU
rnacentral:rRNA from 1 species